GAGGGGAGAUGCGGCGUCAGUCAGCUGCAGUAGGCAGAGGACAGCGGCAGCAGUGAGCAGCAGUGCCGGUAACUGUGGCUGCCGUUCUCUAUUGUUCAGCCAAAGCUUUCUGCUUUUCACUCCAGCCAACCAGAGGAGCAGAAGACGAGGAGAUCCGCCACAUGCACUGUUCCUUCGGGGAACACUAACUGAAGAGGCACGCAAACUCUUUCAGUCUGUGCGACUGAAGUUCUUUCUCUGCUCUCAUUGGGGUUUCUCUUCCUCCCGACCAAGUGGAUUUUACCCGAUUCAGGGGAGCCAUGGGACUUGGGGUUAGGGGUGCAAGGACAGCGUUCCUGUGUUUACGGAGGUUAUUUUUACUGCUCUGUGGAAUCUGGACCGUUUGCUCCCAAACGACAGGAGACGGGAAGUCGCUGUACUUCUGGGAAACAGGUCCAUGGGGAAGAUGUAUGGGCAGCGAGUGUGGUCCAGGCGGGAGUCAGAGUCGAGCGGUGUGGUGCGCUCAUGUGGAAGGCUGGACGACCCUUCACACAAACUGCCUUCAGGCCACACGGCCAGCCAACCAGCAGAGCUGUUUCCGCGUCUGCGACUGGCACAAGGACCUGUACGACUGGCGACUAGGCGCGUGGAACCAGUGCGUUCCCAUAUCACUGCGGACUGGCCGCACAGGUGUUUGCUUGCAGGGCGAAGAGGGCAUCCAGACGCGGGAGGUGAACUGUGCUCUCAGGGCGGAUGGCUCGGCGGCCGACGACGCCAUCUGUGAGUACUUUGAGCCCAAACCCCGGCAGGAACAGGCCUGUCUCAUCCCCUGCCCUCAAGACUGUGUGGUGACCGAGUUCACCCCCUGGACCACGUGCUCCAAGACCUGCGGGCUGGGCCUGCAGAACCGUGUCCGCUCCGUAGUGGCGCCACCACUUUUCGGUGGGCUUCCUUGCCCCAAUCUGACGGAGUUCCAGACGUGUGCGCCAAGGGCCUGCGAGGGCAGAGAGACAGUGUUCAGUCUGAGAGUGGGCGGCUGGAGCGAGUGCAAGCUGCCUUCUUUACCACCACCACCACCGGAGCCGACCUCCUCUGCCGCCCCCGCACGCACUAUACGCCAAGCCCGGCGGCGGAAAGGCAAAGAGAGGAAAGGAAACAGAGACCCGGAGAUGCGUGAGCUUAUCAAGAACAAAAGGAACCGCAACAGGCUGAAUCGACUAGAGAACGACCUCUGGAAUAUCGAAGUAGGCUACCAGUCUCGGCAAGUGGUUUGUGUACAUCGGAAUGGAAGUACGGUAUCACUCAGCCAGUGUCCCCACUGGAGUCUUCCGGAGACUUACCAGUCCUGCCUGAUGCCUAAAGACUGUGUGGUCAGUGAAUGGAGCAUGUGGGGCUCCUGCACCAAGACCUGCUCGGACCCCAGUGUUCCUCAGGGCACACGCUCCCGCAGCAGACAGCUGCUACGGCUUCCUACUGGAGGAGGGUCCGAAUGCCCCAACCUGGAGGAAAGUCAGACCUGUGAACCUGAAGGAAACGGGGUGCCACCCUGCGCUGCUUAUGCCUGGAGGACCACAGAAUGGAGUGAAUGUCGCGUUGACGCGCUCCUCAGCCAGCAGGACCGGCGGCGUGGGAAUCAGACUGGACUGUGUGGUGGAGGUGUGCAGAGCAGGGAAGUGUACUGUGUCCAGGCCAAUGCAGAACUUCUCAGUUACAUCAAUAACAACAAAGACAAACAAGAAGGUCAGUCUCCAAAUGGCCAGACGCCUAGUGUCCCUCCUCUCCUGUCUAUCACCUUUGAGAUCUCAGCAUCACAACCCGUAGACAUUCGGCUCUGCAAGGGAACGUCUCCAAGUACCACGCAGCUGUGUCACAUCCCGUGCCCUGUGGAGUGUGAACUGUCCCCGUGGGGCGCCUGGGGGCCCUGCACCUUUGAGAAUUGUGAUGAACGGGUUGUGAAGAAAGGUUUCAAGUUCAGACGACGUACAAUAACUAAUGACCCCACGGGUGGUGAGGGGAGCUGUCCUCACCUGGUGGAGGCCAUCCCGUGCGAUGAUCCCAGCUGUUUUAACUGGCAGCUGGUCAAGCUAGAGGAGUGUAUCCCUGAAGAAGACAUGGACUGCGGAGAGGGAACUCAGAUUCCACAGGUCCGCUGCGUCAACAAUGAAGGUACAGAGGUGGAGAGGGAGAUGUGUGCGGAUGAGGUCUACCCUGCAUCUGUGCCCUGUAUGGUUCCCUGCCCUAAAGACUGUGCUCUCAGUCUCUGGACUGAAUGGUCCACCUGCUCCCAGACCUGCUCCAGCAAAACCGCCGAGGGCAAGCAGAUGAGAACCAGAGCCAUUCUGGCUUACAAUGCAGGAGAAGGAGGUUCCAGCUGUCCGAACACCAGCGCCCUACAGGAGGUGCGGAACUGUAAUGAGCAUCCUUGCAUCGUGUAUCACUGGCAGACGGGCCCCUGGGGACAGUGCGUGGAGGACACCACCACAUCCACCCUCAAUACCUCCUCCAGCGCAGACAAGUCCACCUGCACAAUGGGCGUGCAAACGCGCAAGGUCAUCUGCGUAAAGGUCAAUGUCGGACAGGUGCCACCCAAAAAAUGUCCUGAAGCCCCUCGGCCAGAGUCAGUACGACCCUGUCUGCUGCCCUGUAAGAGAGACUGUAUAGUGACACCCUUCAGUGAAUGGACAGAGUGUCCCACAUCCUGUGAAGCAGGUGUGAACGGGCAGAAGAAUAAACAGUUUCGAUAUCGAGUGGUCAUCCAGAUGCCAGCUAAUGGAGGUCAGGAGUGUCCGGACGUCCUUUAUGAAGAGAAAGACUGUGCAACUCCAUCUGUCUGUCCGGGUUACAGGUGGAAAACACACAAGUGGCGUAAAUGUCAGCUGGUCCCAUGGAGCAUCCGCAGAGACAGUAAAGGAGCUCAGGAGAACUGUGGAGCUGGAGUCCAAACUAGAGCUAUCUCAUGUAGGCAGCUGGAUGGUACAGUGGCUGAUGUUGUGCAGUGUCUGAAGUUUGCCAGCAGUAUGCCUGUUAUGAGCCAGCCCUGCCAGUUACCGUGCCGAGACGACUGCCAGCUCUCCAACUGGUCCAAGUUCUCUCCUUGCAGCUCGGACUGCGUAGGGGUCCGUACACGAAGGAGAGCUCUCGUGGGAAAAAGCAAGAAGAAGGAUAAGUGUAAGAACAGCCAGAUGUACCCGCUGAGCGAGACCCAGUACUGCCCCUGCGACAAAUACAACGCCCAGCCGGUGGGCAACUGGUCUGACUGCAUCUUGCCCGAGGGCCGUGUGGAAAGCGCUGUGGGCAUGAAGGUCCAGGGAGACAUUAAGGAGUGUGGGCAGGGCUACCGGUUCCAGGCCAUGGUGUGCUACGACCAGGAUAACAGACUCGUGGAGACUUCACGCUGUAACAGUCAUGGGUAUAUCGAGGAGGCCUGCAUCGUCCCUUGCCCUUCUGAUUGUAAACUCAGUGAAUGGUCCAACUGGUCGCGCUGCAGCAAAUCCUGUGGCAGUGGGGUCAAAGUUCGCUCAAAAUGGCUCAGAGAAAAGCCUUACAAUGGAGGAAGACCCUGCCCAAAACUGGACCACCUUAACCAGGUAAACGUCUAUGAGGUGGUCCCGUGCGUCAGUGACUGCAGUCAGUAUAUUUGGGUAGCUGAACCCUGGAGCGUGUGGAAAGUAAGUAACGUGGAUCUGAAGGAGAACUGUGGCGAGGGCGUGCAAACAAGAAGAGUCAGGUGUAUGUUGAACACAGUGGACGGUCCCACUGACGCGGUUGAAGACUAUCUGUGUGAUCCAGAGGAGAUGCCACAGGGCACGAGGGAGAGCCGACUGCCCUGCCCGGAGGACUGUGUGCUGUCUGACUGGAGUCCCUGGACCCCAUGUGACCUGCCGUGUUCUGGAAGAGGAGAUCGGGAGAGGACGGCGUUUGCCCUGCGUCUGCCUAAAGAAGGAGAGGACUGUCCGGUUAGCAUGCAGACCGAGCCCUGCCUCCUGAACCGCAACUGCUUUCACUACAGUUACAACAUCACCGACUGGAGCACAUGCCAAUUAAGUGCCAAUGCUGUGUGUGGAAUCGGUCUCAAGACGAGGAUGCUGGACUGCGUUAGAAGUGACAGAAAAUCAGUUGACCUGAAGUACUGCGAAGAGCUGCGCUUAGAGAAGAAAUGGCAGAUGAAUGCUUCCUGCACAGUGGAGUGUCCAAUCAACUGCCAGCUCUCUGAUUGGUCAGCAUGGUCAGACUGCUCCCAGACCUGUGGCCUUGAAGGGAAGAUGUGGCGGAGACGGACUGUGGUUCAGGCGUCUCAAGGGGACGGCAGGCCGUGUCCGUCUCAGAUGGAGCAGUGGAAACCGUGUCCUGUGCGACCCUGCUACAGAUGGCAGUACGGCCCGUGGUCAGAGUGCCGUGUUGAGGAGGUGGUGUGCGGGGUGGGCCUGCGUUUCCGGAACCUGUCGUGCUUUGUAUCAGACGGCUCCAGUGAUGGGAAGAGCAGCAUUGUAGAGGAAGAUCUCUGUGCUGGAUUGGAGCAGGCCGUCGACGGAGAUAAGAAGAUUGUUCUGGAGGAGACCUGCACCUUACCCUGCCCUGGUGACUGUUACCUGAUGGAGUGGUCCGACUGGAGCCAGUGUCAGAGAGUGUGUGUGAAGGGUCAGCGUUUGGACUUCACUCCGGUUCAGGUCCGCUCACGUGCCGUCAUCGCGCAAGAACCGGAAAACAUCGCUCAGUGUCCGGAUCAGGAGUGGCAGUCCCGCCCCUGCAGCAAUGGUGAAUGUUAUGAGUACCAGUGGAUGGGCGGUCCUCAGCUGAUCUGGUGUCAGCGCUCGGAUGGAAUAAACGUCACAGGUGGAUGCCCUCCAGCACUACUGCCAGGGGCGGACCAGUCAUGUGAUCCACUUUGUGACAAACCACAGUCAUUCUGCUCAGAGGAGGGCGUAUGUAUGUGCGAGGAGGGCUAUACCGAGGUCCUGACGGCCGAGGGGAUGCUGGAGCAAUGUACACCCAUCCCUGUGCUCGAAAUCCCUACCGCAGGGGACAAAAAAGCCGAUGUGAAGACCAGCCGGGCCAUCAACCCCACCCUGCCCACCACGGUGCAGCCUGGCCGUGUGGGACGUACAUGGUACUUGCAACCCUUUGGACCAGACGGAACGCUGAAGACGUGGGUGUACGGAGUGGCGGCAGGUGUUUUUGUCCUCCUGGUAUUUAUAGUGUCAAUGAUUUACCUCGCAUGCAGUUACUGUGCCAUCCGGCGGUCGCUCGGGACGCCAGAUUCUGCCAAUGGUACGGUGGUAUGGAUGGGCCAAGACGCCCAUGAACUGACGUACACCUGCCCUGAGUGCCAGCAGCCAAGUCAAGAGUCAAGAGCCAGUUAAAGGCCGGAGAAACAGGCUCCUGAUCUCCUGACAUCUCAGCCCCCUCUGCCUAGUGCCUCGGCCUCAGUCUGUGCCUUACGUUCUGAUGCUCAAAGCAUCGAGCUGCCCGGCAAAAAGCCAAAGAAACCUCAGCGAAGACAAAACAAUAAUCGACUGAAACCCCUGACCCUGGCGUAUGAUGGCGACGCGGACAUGUAGCCUUUCCCGGAGAACUAACAUCAUGAAAACGUCAUCAACAUUCUGAAAAUGGCUGAAUCUCACUAAAACAUGCCCAGGUCACAUUAUACCCCAAUAUUAAAAGAAAAAAAAAGUAAGUAAUGAUAUUUUUGAUGAAAAGAAACUAAGGCUAUUUUAGCAUCUUUAAGAUUUUGUACAUCGUGAUAUUAUGAAAAUGAGAUUAUUGCAUUAUUCAUGACAAUGAAGCACAUUACUUCCUAAAUUGUUUUUUUACUGUAAACAAUUGAAUUACAAUUGUAAUUCUUAGUAUUGUCAAUAUUCUAAUUAAUCUUCUUUUUAUUUAAAUCAGAACAAGUUAAAGGCAAUAUAACUAAUAUUACCAUGAUGUAUUAAUACUUAUUUAUUGAAAUAUCAUAAAUAUAUGAGAGUUUUUACAUUACAAUAAUAAGAAUUUGGGGUAAAUGUGCUUAAUUGUUAAGAAAAUAAUGUCACAAUGCAAACAGUCUUUAUAGUCAAGUCACCUUUAAUUUUAUAGUGCUUUAUACAAUAGAACUAUUCUAUUGUAGUUCUAUUAUUCAGUAGAACUACAUUUCAAAGCAGCUCCACAGUAAUAAACAGGAAAGUAACAGAAUUAAUGAUGCAAACUUCAUCAAAUAUGACCGAUUCAAAUUCUGCUGUAAAGCAGCUGUACCAGGAUAAUAGAGUCAUUCAUUAUUGAGCUCAGUUCAGUUCAGUGUUGAUUCAAUUCAGUUCAAUAACUGUGUAAAGUUCAUUCAUUAUGAAACAAGUUCAGUUUUGCUGUGAAGCGGCUCUACUGUCGUUAUUCGAUAGUGUCAAAAAAGUCCUAAAUAGUCCUAAAAUAAGGCUUCAUUAUUUGUUUAUGAAAAAUAUAAUUUCUUAUUUUUAUUACCGUUUGUUUUUGGGGUGACGUAUGACCUCGUCAUGUUUUAUGAGAUACACCAAAAUACUCCUCCAAAUGAGAAAUGCCUAACCAUGACAAAUACUGGACUCUCAUUGCUUGAAUCCAACUUGGAAGAAGAAACAUCCAAGAGCCGCAAAAGAAAACCUUCGUACUUUGUUUGUACUUCCCAUUGUUGUUCUGGAAGAGCCUUUAUCUGCAUAUGCUGUGAGAUCAUGCCUUUGUUUAUCUUCAGUUCCUUAGAAAGUAUUUGUCAAUUAUGCAACUGCGGUCAAGCUAGUGGUCUUCUACGACUGGUCGGACUUCUCUCUAGGACCUUAUCGGAACAACGUUCUUCCGACUUGUGCUUCCCAGCUGAGAGGAUUCAUUUUUUUGGAGGGAGUUAUUUAAUAGACAAUGCCAAAACAUACAGUACAAACACACAGUAGAGAACUUCAGAUAUCACCUACAUCAUGGACAACAUUUGCUCACAGAAGAUGCAGCCUUUCUAUGGAAGGUGAAAACAAGACAAAUCAUGUUCUCCUGGAAGUCCCACUCUGAUUCCAGGUGUUAUUUUGCACUAUAUUAGUGCAGCAAGGAAGGCAUUCGCCAUUGAACAAUGAAUCUGGAGCACAUCAAUGAAGCGGGAUAACUGGGAAAGUGUAAAAAUAAAUCUCAGAGUGGGACUCUUUAAAGACCUCACGUCCUUUUAUUUUCACUCAUUUGUGCAUUGUAUAGUUUCUACUGUAUGAUGUGUCUUUUCUGCUCAACAGACUUUAAAUAUGUAUUUUUUGUUAUAGUUUUCCAUUCAGGCAUUUUUAUAUAAUAAUUAGUUGGUAUACAGUUGUUGGGGAAAAGUGGUUGUGACAGUAUUAUGACUUUUGAUUGGGGGAUUGUGCCCCAUCUUUAGUGUCUAGUAUCUGAUUACAUGAAUGAUGUACGUGUCAAGAAAAUGGGUCUCAUGGGAAGACCGAUAGUUUCUGCCUUAUUAUUGAUUAAAAAAUGUGGAAGUUUUGUUACUAAUUGUUGCCAAUUCUCACAGGACAGUGGUCAUGCAAAAUACAGUGGCUCUACAAAGUAUUUGGACACUUGAGAAACUUUAAAAUGUCUGAAUGUAAUUGCAUUAGAUAUAACCGGUUGCAUUUCGGAAACAAGUUGCAGCUAAAGAACAGACUAAAAUAUUCUGAUGGUGUUUCUGACAAUAUUAUUUUACACCACCAAUGUCAGAAAUUUUAUGAGGUGAAUCAAAAACAUACAACCUGUCCGGUGUAGUCUAAUUCCCAAACUAUUGACUCUUAUGAACCUGUAUUUUACACUGAAUCAGAAACAUACAACCAGUCCAGCGUAGUCCGAAUCCCAAACUAUUGACUCUUAUGAACCUGUAUUUUAAACUGAAUCUAAAAUAUACAACCUGUCCGGUGCAGUCCGAUUCCCAAACUAUUGACUCUUAUGAACCUGUAUUUUAUACUGAAUCAAAAACAUACUGCACGACCAGUGUAUUCUGAUUCCUAAAUGAUUAUAGGAGCCAGUUCUUUUUAGUGAAUCAAAAAUAUACAACCAGUCCUGUGUAGUCCAAUUCCCAAAUGGUUGACUCUUCUGAACCUGUAUUUUAUACUGAAUCAGAAACAUACGACCAGUCCAGCGUAGUCCGAAUCCCAAACUAUUGACUCUUAUGAACCUGUAUUUUAAACUGAAUCAAAAAUAUACAACCUGUCCGGUGUAGUCCAAUUCCCAAACUAUUGACUCUUAUGAACCUGUAUUUUAAACUGAAUCAAAAAUAUACAACCUGUCCGGUGCAGUCCGAUUCCCAAACUAUUGACUCUUAUGAACCUGUAUUUUAUACUGAAUCAAAAAUAUACAACCUGUCCGGUGUAGUCCGAUUCCCAAACUAUUGACUCUUAUGAACCUGUAUUUUAUACUAAAUCAAAAACAUACUGCACGACCAGUGUAUUCUGAUUCCUAAAUGAUUAUAGGAGCCAGUUCUUUUUAGUGAAUCAAAAAUAUACAACCAGUCCGGUGUAGUCCGAUUCAUGAACUAUUGACUCUUCUGAACCUGUAUUUUAUACUGAAUCAGAAACAUACGACCAGUCCAGCGUAGUCCGAAUCCCAAACUAUUGACUCUUACGAACCUGUAUUUUAAACUGAAUCAAAAAUAUACAACCUGUCCGGUGUAGUCUGAAUCCCAAACUAUUGACUCUUAUGAACCUGUAUUUUAAACUGAAUCAAAAAUAUAUAACCUGUCCGGUGUAGUCCGAUUCCCAAACUAUUGACUCUUAUGAACCUGUAUUUUAUACUGAUUUAAAAACAUACUGCAUGACCAGUGUAGUCUGACUCCCAAAUGAUUGACUCUUAUGAACCAGUUCUUUUUAGUGAAUCAAAUCAUACAACCACUCAAGUCUAGUCCGAUUCAUGAGCUAUUGACUCUUUUGAACCUGUAUUUUAUGCUGAAUCAUAAACAUACUGCAUGACCAGUGUAGUCUGAUUCCCAAAUGAUUGACUCUUAUGAACCAGUUCUUUUUAGUGAAUCAAAUCAUACAACCACUGAAGUCUAGUCUGAUUCAUGAACUAUUGACUCUUUUGAACCUGUAUUUUAUGCUGAAUCAUAAACAUACUGCGUGACCAGUGUAGUCUGAUUCCCAAAUGAUUGACUCUUAUGAACCAGUUCUUUUUAGUGAAUCAAAAACAUACAGCUCGACAAGUGUAGUGCGAUUCCUGAAUGAUUGACUCUAAUGAACAAGUUCUUUAUAGUGAAUCCAAAACAUAGGACCUUUCCGGUGUAGUCUGAUUCCUGAACUAUUGACUCUUUUGAACCUGUAUUUCAUACUGAAUCAAAAACAUACUGCACGACCAGUGUAGUCUAAUUCCCAAAUGAUUGACUCUUAUGAACAAGUACUUUUUAGUGAAUCAAAAACAUACAACCAGUCCGUUGUAGUCCGAUUCAUGAACUAUUGACUUUUAUGAACCUGUAUAGUCCAAUUCCUGAGUGACGCAUUUGAGCAAAUGCGUCUGUACAUUAAGUGUGGCUUAAAUGUGCAAAUACUUUCUGGGGUCACUGUACAUGUGUAGCACUUUUCUUGGAUCUGAUAUAUAUUUUAUUGUAUAAUAUUAUGGCAUCAUAAAUAUAGUCACAAUUUGAGCUGUCUCUUCACACUUGCAAAAAAAUAUACAAAGCCAUCAAAUCAUUCGGGUACGGUUUUUGAUGUUUUAUUAUUCAGCCGAUUUUUAAAUAGUAAUCAAUUUACAUAUCCAUGAAUUAUUAUUAAUUCCCCUAAAAUGCAGUGAAAAGAAAAUAGUGUAUAAAAUCUUAAGCAUUCAUGAAAAUUGAUUUAUUUUGAAUUUAACAUAUUGUAUGGAAACAACAGCGUGAAUAUGAUAUUCCUAAGAUGUAUUAGUCUAUGAAUCCUGCUGAAAUCUUCCAUUCAGAUAGUAGUUAUAGAAGAUGCUUUUUAUUGGUCAACUUUCCUCAUUUCCCCUCAUUCAUUUACGCUGCUACAUUAGAGUCGUUUCACCUGGCCGUCCUGCUAGCAGCUGGUGAAAUGAAUGUUUAGUAUAAUUUGUAAAUAAUAAUGAGUAUUAAAUCAUAUCUUUUAUAUUGCACAGAAAUGUUUAGUACAUUGCAAAGUGGUCUCGCUGAUCUUUGUUGAUUAUGGUCAUGUUGUAAAGUCUUUUUUUGUACAGCUUAUGUUUUCUGAUGACCUACAGGUAAUAAAUACUGGUGUAUUAAACAUG